CACGUAGGGUGCAAGCGUUGUCCGGAAUUAUUGGGCGUAAAGAGCUCGUAGGCGGUCUGUUGCGUCCGCUGUGAAAACUCGGGGCUUAACCCCGAGCCUGCAGUGGAUACGGGCAGACUAGAGGUAGGUAGGGGAGAAUGGAAUUCCCGGUGUAGCGGUGAAAUGCGCAGAUAUCGGGGAGGAACACCGGUGGCGAAGGCGGUUCUCUGGGCCUUACCUGACGCUGAGGAGCGAAAGCGUGGGGAGCGAACAGG
rnacentral:rRNA from 1 species